GUCUAGGGCUACACCACCCUGAACACACCUGAUUCCACCUAACAGCAGAAGCUAAGCAGGAUUGGGCCUGGUUAGUAUUUGGAUAGGAAACUGUGAACCUAAGUAAACCCUUUUCU
rnacentral:rRNA from 1 species